rnacentral:lncRNA from 10 species
GGAAGCUCCUUUCAGAUAGAGACAAGGGAUAUUUGACUUCUUAUCUCUGUUGUCCAGCACAAUGUCCAGAACACAACAGAUAUUCCAUAUGCACAGUCACAUGCUAUGUAUGUGUAUUUUCUUUCCAGAAAGGACUAGAGGUCCUAAGCUUUGUUAAUAUCAUGAGCCAGUGCCCACAUGAGCAGGAGAAUUUUAGCACAGUCACCUACACACUCAUUUCGAUGCUCUGACCCCUUAUCCAAGCCAGUCAAAGUGUGGUCUAUGGUUUUGCAUUUUAAAGAGAUCCCUGGGUGAAUCUUGUGCAUGUUACAGGGAAGCACUGUCCUACAUCCUAUGUGACAGGCUCUCAUAGUCACCAUCAUCAUGGGAAUCUUGCACAUGUUACAGGGAAGCACUGUCCUACAUCAUAUGUGACAGGCUCUCAUAGUCACCAUCAUCACGGGAAUCUUGCACAUGUUACAGGGAAGCACUGUCCUACAUCGUAUGUGACAGGCUCUCAUAAUCACCAUCAUCAUGUGAUCUUGUGCAUGUUACAGGGAAGCACUGUUCUACAUCGUAUCUGACAGGCUCUCAUAGUCACCAUCAUCACAGGAAUCUUGUGCAUGUUACAGGGAAGCACUGUCCUACAUCGUAUCUGACAGGCUCUCAUAGUCACCAUCAUCACAGGAAUCUUGUGCAUGUUACAGGGAAGGACUGUCCUACAUCGUAGGUGACAGGCUCUCAUAAUCACCAUCAUCACGGGAAUCUUGUGCAUGUUGCAGGGAAGCACUGUCCUACAUCGUAUGCGACAGGGUCUCAGAGUCACCAUCAUCGUGGGAAUCUUGUGCAUGUUACAGGGAAGCACUGUCCUACAUCAUAUGUGACAGGCUCUCAUAGUCACCAUCAUCACGGGAAGCUGCAUUUAGAGCAUUUAACUGUAUGGGCUCUGAAAUCAGAUGACUUAGGUUUGGGCUUGCCUCUACUUCUUACUAAGCAGAGAACUUUGGGGCAUGAUACUUAAUUUUACUAGGCUCAGUUUUAUCAUGUGUAAAUUGGAGGCAAGGGGAAAUUAUAGCAUUUUGCAUAGAAUAUUGUUUUAAGUAUGAA